AUUACCGGUUCUCGUUAGGUCACCGAAGUCUAGCAUCAUUGGGCGCUGUCAGUACUUGGGUCAGUACAUGGGUGACCACCUGGGAACACCGCGUGCCGUU